AUGUACUAUAUGCAAUAAUUGUAGACUUGAAACAAUUCUUUUGGCAACAUGAAUUGAAAAAAGUUAUUUAGUAUUCUAAAAUCAGUGCUGUGUUUUCUUCAGUAGUGCCUGAUGAUUUAUUUCACCCAGCACUGAACUUUCUCCAACUAAAUAUACCGAUGAAUAGCUCUUUUCAUUUCUUUUUCAACUAUCAUAAAGCCAAUUAUUCUGGUAUAAAUCAUUUUUUACUAUUGUUCAACUGGGUUGAAACCAUAUCACAUUUAGAUACUAACUGUUGCGGCUGUUUUGCUAAUGCAAUUUUUAAGACGACAUAGACUUGAAGAUUAUUGCAGUUUCUCUUUGAUUCCGGUAAAAUACAAAUAUAUGUCAAACAGUAUUAUAGGAAAUAAAUAAAAAAUACUUCUGCUCUAAACCCUCAAAUGUUUGAGGGUUUGAUGUUUAAGUUUUAUGAUAGUUAUGCUAAAUGGAACAGCUAGUGAGAAUAGUAAUGAAGUACUUGUCUUCUUCUCCGGGCAUUUCAGUUCAGUAUAUACUAAUAUAUGUGACAAUUUCAGUGCUGAAACAAAUUCUGGGCUGAUUCACGAUUAUCUCAGCAAGUGCUACUUAUAUGUAGCAUAAAUUGAAAAAGGAUUAGCUAGUCUUAAAUGUAACACUAGUAGAUCAAUUGGUCCACACGAGCUAUUCAGUGUCUUUGCAUCAGAUAUGGUUGUCCUUAAGUUUUUCCAUGUGACUUUUAUUUAGGAAGUCAUUCGACACCAGGAUCUUUCUUGAAAUAUUGAAACUUGGUUUUCAAGUCCGAUUAUAUUUUUGAUGUUAAUAACUACAAACCAAUAACUAGGUAUGGGUAUCCUUAGUCAAAUAGGUAAACUUUUUCGAGAAAAUAUGAAAAGAUUCUUCACUUGAAAAUCAGAGCAAGAUUUCAGGUAGGAAAGUUAUUAACAGACUGAAAAAAAAAAAUAGAAAUAAAGUACGCAUUAUAGUGAAACCGGUGCAAUACUUGCUGUGCUCUGCCGAAUCUAAAAAAAGUGAUGGGUUUGCAACUUAAAGUUGGGCUAGAUAUUUAAAUUUUCAAUUUGUUACCAGUCCACCAUUGAGUGGAAAUAAAGUAAUAAGUAUCCACACAUUAAAAUGUGCUGAAAAAAAACACAG